GCAGCAGUUUCCCUUCAACGAACGGGUCAAAUUCAUGGAAGCCACGUGCCUGCUGCUUCUGGCCUACACAAAUAUGCAGCCACCAUAGUAAAGUUCUUGCAAAGACAUUCUACACGAACUUGCCCAAAGGCGGAAGGAAGGCACGCACAGAUGGACGCACAGAAAUCAUGGGGCUGCCGUAGAAGCUGUGAAUGAGCAUUAACCUACGUACAGAAAAGAGCGAAGUGGAGCUGUCCAUGGGCCGUGCACACAGUUUCAUAAGCAGGCUUGCAACACUUUUGACAAAUAUGUUC